rnacentral:rRNA from 1 species
UGGGGAAUUUUGGACAAUGGGGGAAACCCUGAUCCAGCCAUCCCGCGUGUGCGAUGAAGGCCUUCGGGUUGUAAAGCACUUUUGGCAGGAAAGAAACGUCAUGGGUUAAUACCACGUGAAACUGACGGUACCUGCAGAAUAAGCACCGGCUAACUACGUGCCAGCAGCCGCGGUAAUACGUAGGGUGCAAGCGUUAAUCGGAAUUACUGGGCGUAAAGCGUGCGCAGGCGGUUCGGAAAGAAAGAUGUGAAAUCCCAGAGCUCAACUUUGGAACUGCAUUUUUAACUACCGGGCUAGAGUGUGUCAGAGGAGGUGGAAUUCCGCGUGUAGCAGUGAAAUGCGUAGAUAUGCGGAGGAACACCGAUGGCGAAGGCAGCCUCCUGGGAUAACACUGACGCUCAUGCACGAAAGCGUGGGGAGCAAACAGG